UCUGGAGUUGGCCUAGUGGUUUGAGUAUUGGACUUUGACUCUGGAGGCCGGGAUUCAAUUCCUGCUCAAGUC